rnacentral:miRNA from 1 species
AGCAGCAUCGUACAGGGCUUGGA